AUAUUGUACAAUGGGGGCAACCCUGAUCCAGCCAUGCCGCGCGUGUGAAGAAGGUUUUCGGAUUUUAAAGCACUUUAAGUUGGGAGGAAGGGCUUUAGGUUAAUACCCUGAAGUUUUGACGUUACCAAGAGAAUAAGCACCGGCCAAUGCUGUUCCAGCAGCCGCGGUAAUAAAGAGGGUGCAAGCGUUAAUCGGAAUUACUGGGAGUAAAGCGCACGUAGGUGGUUCAGUAAGAUGGGUGUGACAUCCCCGGGCUUAACCUGGUAACUGCUGUCAUAACUGCUGAGCUAGAGUACGGUAGAGGGUAGUGGAAUUUCCUGUGUAGCGGUGAAAUGCAUAGAUAUAGGAAGGAACACCAGUGGCGAAGGCGACUACCUGGACUGAUACUGACACUGAGGUGCGAAAGCGUGGGAAGCAAA
rnacentral:rRNA from 1 species